rnacentral:sRNA from 2 species
GCAAAUGGCGCGCCGAAUCCCUUGUGGUACGGAGGAACCAACUUCGGGGGUGAAUCCUGACCGGCGCCGGGUACGGGCGGCCGCGACGGCGGGGUUGUCCGUGUACGGUACGCGGUUGGACAGGCCGCAGCCGGUCCAAGGUAGGUUUUGUCUUUUUACCGAACCCGUCAGCUAACUCCGGAGGCGUAAAAAGAAAGGAGUG